rnacentral:rRNA from 1 species
UACGGAGGGUGCGAGCGUUGUCCGGAAUCACUGGGCGUAAAGGGCGCGUAGGCGGCGCAGGAAGUCAACGGUGAAAGUUCGGGGCUCAACCCUGAAUCGGCCGUCGAUACUCCUGGGCUCGAGCACUGUAGAGGCAGAUGGAAUUCCGGGUGUAGCGGUGGAAUGCGUAGAGAUCCGGAAGAACACCGGUGGCGAAGGCAGGUUACUGGUACGCAACUGACGCUGAGGCACGAAAGCGUGGGGAGCGAACAGG